CGAUACUUCGAGAAUCGCAACAUCGAAUGAGAAUCUCGAAUUUUGAACGGUCUCGCGUAUGUAACGUGUUUACGUCGUUGGAAGUCGGUUUGGGUUGCGGAUUGAAGCAUUAGCAUUUAGUGAGGAGAAAGAGAGCCAAUCUUAAGAAGAGAGAGAGAGAGAGAGAGAGGAAAAAAUUGUCCAUUAAAAUACGGAAGUGACAUGUCGCAGAGACAUGUCGCAAUCGACCGCGAUCGAUCGCAGGGAGUGCCGGAAAACUCCCAUCGGCCAAUCUACGAAUACCAUUCUCGCUCAAUUCAGCUCGAUUGAAGCUUUGGAUGCGAUAUAAAGCGCAAGACGUGUUUGAAGUUCAUCGGAUAAUCCCACGUGAAAGGUUUACAUCUGAGAAAACGAUUACUGUAUACUUGUGAAGGACAAAAGCAAAGGAACAAAGU